AGCUUUGGGGAGGAUCCCUGGGAUUGGGGGGGUUGGAAAGGGGGGAGGGGCCAUUGCUUUCCCACUUGGAGCCUGGGGGGUGGCACACCUGGAUGGGUGACACACCUGAGAGGUGACACACCUGAGAAGUGACACACCUGGAGAGGGGUCACACCUGGCAGAUGACACACACCAGGGGGUGUGACACACCUGAGAAGUGACACAUGUGGAGAGGGACACACCUGGAUGGUGACACACCUGAGAAGUGACACACCUGAGAGGUGACACACCUGAAUGGAUGACACACCUGGAGAGAGGGUGACACAUCUGGAGAGGGGUCACACCCAGAGAGGUGACACACAUAGAGAGGUGAUACACCUGGUUGGGUGACACACCUGAGAAGUGACACACCUGAGUGGUGACACACCUGGAGAGGAGUCACACCUGGAGAGGUGACACACCUGAGAGGGUGACACACCUGGAGAGAGGGUGACACACCUGGUGCAGUUAAAACAUGGAGGGAGAGCCCCAAAUUUCCCAUUUGCUUCCCAAGUCCAAUUGCUCCCCCCCAUUUUGGGGUUAUUUUGGGUUUUUUUGGGACAUUCCCACAUUUCUGGGGGCCCAGUUCCAGGUUGGGGAGCAAUGGCACACAGCUGGGGGGUCCUUCCCAAAAUUUGGUGGUCCCAGGGAGUCCUUCCCAAAAUUUGGGGAUCUGUCCCAAAAUUUGGGGGUUCCAGGGAGUCCUUCCCGAAACUGGGGGUCCUUCCCCAAAAUUGGGGGUUUCCAAGGAUCCUUCCUAAAAUUUGAGGAUCUUUCCCAAAAUUGGGAGGUCCCAGGGAUCCUUCCCAAAAUUUGAGGAUCUUUCCCAAAAUUGGGAGGUCCCAGGGAGUCCUUCCCAAAAUUUGGGGAUCUGUCCCAAAAAAGGAAGGUUCCAGGAAUCCUUCCCAAAAACUGAGGGUCCUUCCCAAAAACUUGGGGCCAAGGAGGGUUUGGAUUCAGCCUCACCUCCUCUUCCUCCUCCUCCUUUUCCUCCUCCUCCUCCUCCCACCCUUACUCCACACGGGGCGGGGUCCGAGCAACCCCCAAAAAAUCAAAAUCCAGGAGAAAAAACCCACCAAAACCCAAAAAAACUCCCCCCAAAAAAAAUCACCACCACCAGCAGGACCCCCCGGCGAGGGACACGGACACAUCCCAGGAGCAUUUUUUGGGAAUUCUAUCUUUUCCAAGGCACAAUUUGGGUGAAUUUUAGGAUUUCUGUCAACAUCAGCACAAUCCAAGAACAUUUCAUGGGAAUUCUCUCAUUUCCAAGGCACAAACUCGGUGGUUUUUGGGAAUUCUCUCAACAUCAACACAACCCAGGAGCAUUUCAUGGGAAUUUUUUCACUUCCAAGGCACAAUUUGGGGGAAUUUUAGGAAUUUCAACACCGUCAACACAACCCAGGAGCAUUUCAUGGGAAUUCUUUCAUUUCCAAGGCACAAAACUUGAUGGUUUUUAGGAUUUCAGCAACAUCCACACAAUCCAAGAGCAUUUUUAUGAAUUCUCUCCUUUCCAAGGCACAGUUUGGGUGAAUUUUAGGAAUUUCAGCACCAUCAACACACUCCAAGAACAUUUCAUGGGAAUUUUGGCACAUCCAAGGCACAAAACCCGGUGGGUUUUUAGGAUUUCAGCACCAUCAACACAACCCAAGAGCAUUUCAUGGGAAUUCUUUCAUUUCCAAGGCACAAAACUUGAUGGUUUUUAGGUUUUCAGCAACAUGGACACAACCCAGGAGCAUUUCAUGGGAAUUUUGGCACCUCCAAGGCACAAUUUGGGGGAAUUUAGGAAUUCAUCAACACAACCCAGGAGCGUUUCAUGGGAAUUCUGGCACUCCCAAAGCACAAUUUGGGGGAAAUUUAGAAUUCAUCAGCACAAUCCAAGAGCAUUUCUUAGGAAUUCUCUCGUUUCCAAGGCACAAUUUGGGGGAAUUUUAGGAUUUCUGUCAACAUCAACACAACCCAAGAGCGUUUCAUGGGAAUUCUUUCACUUCCAAGGCACAAUUUGGGUGAAUUUAGGAAUUCUUCACCACAACCCAAGAGCAUUUAAUGAGAAUUCUCCCAUUUCCAAGGCACAAAACUUGGUGGUUUUUAGGAUUUCAGCACCAUCAACACAACCCAGGAGCAUUUAAUGGGAAUUUUUUCACUUCCAAGGCACAAUUUGGGUGAAUUUUAAGAUUUCAGCAACAUUGUCACAACCCAAGAACAUUUCAUGGGAAUUCUUUCAUUUCCAAGGCAUAAGACUUGGUGAUUUUUAGGAAUUCUUCACCAUGGACACAUCCCAAGAGCAUUUUUUAGGAAUUCUCUCAUUUCCAAGGCACAAACCCAGUGUUUUUUGGGAAUUCUCUCAACAUCAACACAACCCAGGAGCAUUUCAUGGAAUUCUUUCAUUUCCAAGGCACAAAACUUGGUGAUUUUUAGGAAUUCUUCACCAUGGACACAUCCCAAGAGCAUUUCAUAGGAAUUCUCUCGUUUCUAAGGCACAAAACUUGAUGUUUUUUAGGAUUUCUCUCAACAUCAACACAACCCAGGAGCAUUUCUUAGGAAUUUUCUCAUUUCCAAGGCACAAAACUUGGUGGUUUUUAGGAUUUCAGCACCAUGGACACACUCCAAGAACAUUUCAUGGGAAUUUUGGCACUUCCAAGGCACAAAACCUGAUGGUUUUUUUAGGAUUUCUCUCAACAUCAACACAACCCAGGAGCAUUCCAUGGGAAUUUUCUCAUUUCCAAGGCACAAACUCAGUGGGUUUUAGGAUUUCAGCAACAUGGACACACUCCAAGAACAUUUCAUGGGAAUUCUUUCAUUUCCAAGGGCACGAGACCUGGUGAUUUUUAGGAAUUCUUCACCACGGACACAUCCCAAGAGCAUUUUUUUAGGAAUUCUUGCAUUUCCACAGCACAAAUCCCGGUGGUUUUUAGGAUUUCAACACUAUCAACACAACCCAGGAGCAUUUGAUGGGAUUUCUCCCAUUUCCAAGGCACAAAACACAGUGGUUUAUGGGAAUUCUCUCAACAUCAACACAAGCCAAGAGCGUUUUUUUAAGGAAUUCUCUCAUUUCCAAGGCACCGUUUGGGCAAAUUUUAGGAAUUUUCUCAACAUCAACACAACCCAAGAAUAUUUUUUUAGGAAUUCUCUCAUUUCCAAGACACAAAUCUUGAUGGUUUUUAGGAUUUCAGCAGCAUCAGCACAACCCAAGAACAUUUCAUGGGAAUUUUGGCACCUCCAAAGCACAAUUUGGGCAAAUUUAGGAAUUCAUCAACACAACCUGAGAGCAAUUCUUAGGAAUUCUCUCAUUUCCAAGGCACAAAACUUGAUGGUUUUUAGGAUUUCAGCAACAUGGACACAAUCCAAGAGCAUUUAAUGGGAAUUUUGGCACUUCCAAGGCACAAUUUGGGGGAAUUUAGGAAUUCAUCAACACAACCCUGGAGCAUUUAAUGAGAAUUCCCUCAUUUCCAAGGCACAGUUUGGGUGAAUUUUAGGAAUUCUUUCCUUUCCAAGACCUGAUUUCGGGGUUUUUAGGAAUUCUCUCCCUUCCCAGGUCAUCUCCUUGAGGUUUUUUAGGAACUUCCUCACCACUCUUGAUGUUCCAAGACCAUUUUUGGUGGUUUUUGGAAUUCUCUUCCACCCCAGACCAUUUUUUGAUGGUUUUGGGAAUUCUGUCACUCGGAAGACAAGAUCCCAGAGUUUUUAGGAACUCUUUUCUCUUCCAUGACAAAAUUUCAGGGAUUUUAGGAACUCUUCUCCUUCCAUUACUCAAUUCAGUGUUUUUAGGAACUCUUCUUCAUUCCACGCCACAACUCAGUGGUUUUGGGACCACCCAAGGCCCUUUUUGGUGGUUUCAGGACCUCUCCUGAUCAUCCCCGAGGUGCCGCCACCUCCCAAAAACACCAAACCCACCAAAUCCGGGCUGGGGGGGCCCAAACCCCCAGGAACAUUCCAGAAACAUCCCAAGGAACAUUCCAGGAACAUUCAAGAACACCCAGGAACGUUCCAAGAAAAAUUCCAGCAACACCCCCAGGAACGUUCCACCAACACCUCCAAGAACAUUCCAGGAACAUUCCAGCAACACUCCCAGGAACAUUCCAGAACACUCCCAGGAACAUUCCUGGAACACCUCAGGAACAUUCCAAGAACAUUCCAGCAACAACCCAAAGAACAUUCCAGGAACAUCCCAAAGAACAUUCCAGAAACACCCCCAGGAACACCAUAAGGAACAUUCCAGCAACACCUCCAAGAACAUUCCAGGAACACCUCCAAGAACAUUCCAGGAACACCCCAAGGAACAUUCCAGGAACACUUUCAAGAACAUUCCAAUAAUAUUCCAGCAACACCCUGAGGAACAUUCCAGAAAUACCUUCAGCAACACUCCCAGGAACAUUCCAAGGAACAUUCUAGCAACAACCCAAAGACAUUCCAGGAACAUCCCAAAGAACAUUCCAGAAACACCCCCAGGAACACCAUAAGGAACAUUCCAGGAAUAUUCCAGCAACACCCCAAGGAACGUUCCAGGAAAACUCCCAGGAACAUUCCAGGAACGCUCCGGGAAUGUUCCAGGAGUACACCAAGGAAUGUUCCAGAAACACCUCAGGAACG